rnacentral:ncRNA from 3 species
UACGAAAGGUGCAAGCGUUAAUCGGAAUUACUGGGCGUAAAGCGCGCGUAGGCGGUGUGUUAAGUCGGAUGUGAAAGCCCAGGGCUCAACCUUGGAAUUGCAUCCGAUACUGGCACGCUAGAGUGCAGUAGAGGGAGGUGGAAUUUCCGGUGUAGCGGUGAAAUGCGUAGAGAUCGGAAGGAACACCAGUGGCGAAGGCGGCCUCCUGGACUGACACUGACGCUGAGGUGCGAAAGCGUGGGGAGCAAACAGG